GACGAACGCUGGCGGCGUGCUUAACACAUGCAAGUCGAACGCUGAAGACCUGGCUUUUGUUGGGUUGGAUGAGUGGCGAACGGGUGAGUAACACGUGAGUAACCUGCCCUCUUCUUUGGGAUAACGCCCGGAAACGGGUGCUAAUACUGGAUAUUCACUGAUCUUCGCAUGGGGGUUGGUGGAAAGGUUUGUUCUGGUGGGGGAUGGGCUCGCGGCCUAUCAGCUUGUUGGUGGGGUGAUGGCCUACCAAGGCUUUGACGGGUAGCCGGCCUGAGAGGGUGACCGGUCACAUUGGGACGGAGAUACGGCCCAGACUCCUACGGGAGGCAGCAGUGGGGAAUAUUGCACAAUGGGCGAAAGCCGGAUGCAGCGACGCCGCGUGAGGGAUGGAGGCCUUCGGGUUGUAAACCUCUUUCGCUCAUGGUCAAGCCGCAACUGUGGGUUGUGGUGAGGGUAGUGGGUAAAGAAGCGCCGGCUAACUACGUG
rnacentral:rRNA from 1 species